rnacentral:piRNA from 1 species
UGCUGUCUUCCUUCUCAAAUU